ensembl:lncRNA
AGGCAGACAGACUGGGAUGACCAACACUGGUAGGUAGAGAGACUGGGAUGACCAACACUGGUAGGUAGAGAGACUGGGAUGACCAACACUGGUAGGUAGAGUGACUGGGAUGACCAACACUGGUAGGUAGAGAGACUGGGAUGACCAACACUGGUAGGUAGAGACAGACUGGGAUGACCAACACUGGUAGGUAGAGACAGACUGGGAUGACCAACACUGGUAGGUAGAGACAGACUGGGAUGACCAACACUGGUAGGUAGAGACAGACUGGGAUGACCAACACUGGUAGGUAGAGACAGACUGGGAUGACCAACACUGGUAGGCAGAGAGACUGGGAUGGCCAACACUGGUAGGUAGAGAGACUGGGAUGACCAACACUGGUAGGUAGAGAGACUGGGAUGACCAACACUGGUAGGUAGAGACAGACUGGGAUGACCAACACUGGUAGGUAGAGACAGACUGGGAUGACCAACACUGGUAGGUAGAGACAGACUGGGAUGACCAACACUGGUAGGCAGACAGACUGGGAUGACCAACACUGGUAGGUAGAGACAGACUGGAUGACCAACACUGGUAGCUUGGCAUGUAAAGGCGAGGAAGAUGCCAAUGCCACUACAGUAUAUCUCCAUGGAAGUAUGAACCCCCAUAGCUAGCUACAGUUGGGCUCAAUUCCAUUUCAAUUCCAGUCAAUUCAGGAAGUAAAAGUA